rnacentral:tRNA from 1 species
CCCCCUGUAGCUCAACGGAUAGAGCAAUCCCGUCCUAAGGGAGAGAUGGGAGUUCGAUUCUUCCCGGGGGGG